GGUAAGGAUGGACCUGUGUAUAAAGCUCUGUCCAUUAUGUCAAUCAGAUAGGUUGCUUACAGCUAUGUAUUUAGAAGUACCUCAAGUCGUACUAUUGAAGCCCUCUUACCUGUUAGGUAAAUAAUUCAUUCAACAUUAAAGACUAGUCUAUGCCAGUACUGUGUAUCAGACCCAAGAUAGAAAACACCUCUAGCUCUGGCAUUUUGGAAGUACAAACUUAGGCAGUUUAGUAGUUUUUUCAGACAUACUGGAAGAGAUAGCUAGUUAAGUACAAAGACUGAUCUUCAGCAAAGGGUAAGAUUCUAAUUUACAUCAUCAUUUUUAAGCUGACAUAGUGCUUUUACCUACAUGUUUUCACUUUGAUGUUGAUCCAGCCAAAAAACCUGUGACAGAGAGAAAGCAGACCCCUCCUGGAAGCCGACUUUGUUUACAUAUAUAAUGUCCUUGACUGAAUUAGCAACACCUAUAAAUUAGAAGACAGGCGAAGAGGCAACUCAAUUUAGCAUAAUGGUUCCAAAGUGGUCUCAGCAACAUCAGUAUCAUUUGGAAGCUUAUUAAAAAUGCAAUCACUCAGCCUCUACUCCAGACUUAACUGAACCAGAAACUUCGAGGCUGGAGCCCUUCAGUCUGUGUCAUCCAGGUGAUUCCAUGCAGGCUUAAGUUUGAGAUCCACUGGUUUGGUAAAUAAUUUAGAGUUGGAAAACUGGGCUCUGUUUUAGGCUCUAGCGCUUACUAACCACCGACCAUUUAACAGUCCUAAUGGGAAGCUGAUUAGGCUUCCGUGGUGGGUAUUUUGGAGAGAUGAAAAUGGUUUGGAACUAGACAGAGGUGGUGGGUGAACAACACUGAAUGUACUGAAUGCCACUGAAUUGCUCACUUUAAAAACAUUUUAUUUGAUGUGAAUUUCACAUCAAUGGUGUUUUUAAAAUGCCUACUCAACUCACUUCUGAAGUGAAUGACAAAACGUGUAUGGAGGCUCUUUGCCAAAUAGAAGGUGCUAUACAGACAUCAUGGCAAGGCUAUUAGAGAGUAACUUUUCUUAGCUACUUGUAUUUUUCCUGAGAAACAGAGAGCCCUGUCAUUUACACAGACGUUUAGCAAGUGUUACCAAAUGAUGUGACAUUUUAAUGAAAACAUUUUAUCUUUAUGAUACCUUUCAAGCAACUGUAAAGGGGUGAAUUUGAGGUGGGCAGAGGGGAAUACCAGUUACAACUGAUGUGGUUAGUAUCAAUCCUAGAUACAAUCCUAUACUUCCAGAGCAUAAUGCGCCCAUUAUUCCAAGACCAGGAAAAAAAGAAAAAGAGACUCCAUCUACUUAGAAACUUUGACUCAGUUUGAUAUCUAUUCUCUUCCCCUGUGCUCAUUCCAAGAUAAUGGAGUUCCUGUGUGCUCCCUGAAAAGAUGGGUCGAAAGUAUGUGUUUUGUCACCACCUGAGUUUUGACUUUCCACAAAAGCAAUGGCUUGUUUCUGUCCUACAUGAGUCUCCUGAGGGCACUGACUAUGUUUCAUGCAUCUCUACCACCCCUAAGUUGCAAACAUUACUAGCCCUUCAGUAAAUAGUGGAUGACAAUGUAUGUAAUAGGUGUUUUCCUGUGGGCUCCUGGGACAAUUUUUCACUAUAGAGAUUUGAGGGUCAGAGGCCAAAUCACUAUAAACCCAGUGUUCUCAUGACUACCUCCAUAUAGUAGAUUGUGAGUAACCCAGUUUAUAGAAGCUCAGAAGUUUACUCACACUAUCAGAGGUCUUACCAGACUGAUGCAAUCUUAUCAGAGGCUGCCUUUAGACCUUCUGCUAAGUGAGGAUGGUAUCAGGGGGAGAGAAUUCUGACUCUGUGUUGUCAAGAUGCUGCUUGCACUAUAUGUGUGGAACUGAGUGAUUUCAGGUUAUGUCUGUAGUUGGCUGCUCUUUAAAGACUAGUUUUAGAGUUGUGCCUAUGUUGCAGGAAUUCUUCAGCUUUUUUUUUAAUGGAAAUUUUAUACAUACACAAAAGUAGAGAGAAUAUGUGAAUCCGCAUGUGCCCACCCUAUAGCUUCAACAGAUUUUAACUCAUAACUAACCUGUUUCAUCUACAUUCUCCAACUCAUCCCCACUUUCCAAAGACCAUUUUAAAAAUAAAUCUUACAUGUUAUUGCAUCCACAAAUAUUUCAAUUGCUUCUUAAAGAGAAAAGAACUUUAUAAAAACUGCAAUACUAUUAUCAAAACUUAGAGUUAACAACAAUUCCUUAAUAUCAUCAAAUAUCCAAUGGGUGGAAUUGCCGAAUGCUUACAAUUGUGAAAAUUAUCAAAGAAAAGUGAAUACAAUUAAAGCUUGUGAUUUGUAAUGAAAACCUGUGGUUGGUCUUAUCCGUUUGUAAAGAGCUUAGGCAAAUUAUGAAAUCAUUUUGUAGAAAGCACAUCUGCAAAAUAUCUGUAGUUUCCAGGAGCCUGUUAUUUUCAGGGUCUCAGAAAAAAUAUGUGCAGUUUGUAGAGAAGCUCUAGCAACUGUGGCAUCUGUUAGCAGGAGGAGUCUUUUUGGCUAGUGAGAUGGUGAAUUUAAAGAUCCACGGCUGGGCUGAGGUUAUGCGGAGAGUACUGAACUCUAGUGAGAAAUAUGGAAAGCUCAUCCUCACCACACCCAGGUUACGCACCCAGAUUCCCAGACAAUUUUUGUAUUAUUUUCGGCAAUUCUGUCCUCAAUGAAAACCAUCCUGCUCUAUCACUGGAAGCACAUUUUUUGCCUUUGAUUGGGUCCUGGUUGUGGAUUUGGCAGUGAACCAGUGAGACAGCAGGACAUGGGUGUGUUAUUACCAUGACUGAUGUACAUCCAAAUAUGUUUAUCUAACAAUGGAAAGAACCUCUGCAGACAUUACCAGGAUAGGAUGCAUGGAUGUUAAACAAAGUUUUCCCUAGAGCUCUCCAAACAUAUAUUGGAAGUUAUGACAGAAAGGGUUAAUUUGUUAAUACUUAAGAAAUCACUGCUCUGAGGACAAAUAGCUUUAUGCACAGUUGCUGCUACAUGUUAAUAAUAAUAAUUAUUAUAUAAUCAGUAACUGGCUGAUUUCUCUUAACUGAUUCAUUCUGUGAAACUGCCUUUGAAAGAACUGUGAUUUCUUUUUGGAAGGUUCCCAGAAAGCGGAAUGGGAAUUUUUAGUAAAUUUGCUGUUAUUUAUUAAUGUUUCUAUAUAAGAAAGGCAUUCUGAUAUUUCUUAGAAUCAUCAUUUGCAAGUUGUAAACAGUUUUCAAUGUAUCAUUUAUAAAAGUACAGCCCCAAUUCUUGUUACUAUGAGAUGAGCAGUGUUAUUUUAAGAGCUCUUUCUUGACUUUUCCAAACUGUCCUGUUUAAAAUCGCAAGGAGAAUUUGAUCAGCAUGUAUUAGUCAGUGCUGUGUUCAAGGAGGGGAGAUGAAAAGCAGUACCUGGCCAGAUCCUUAUGUUUUUGAUCUGCCCUCAGAAAAGUGCCUGGCGAUGCUGGGUUUUGUAAUAAAAAUCACUUCAUCCAGUGUUAAUGUGGAAACAACUUGACUUGUUUGUGUGAAUAAAGUUCUGUUGAUCUCAUUUAAACCCAGGAAAUGUUAGAGUCAGACCAUAAUCCAUCCUGUCUGGUACCUGCUGUGCCCAGGUGUAUCUGUAUCUUGGUUCUUUCAGCAGAACAAGGGAAUCCAAUCCCUCUAGUCUCUAGACUGUGCAGCAAAACUGUAUAGGAGUGUUAUGGAGAUUUAACCUUUUCAAAUACACAGUGACAUCCCUACCUGUACUCAAAACUUUAAGAAAUAUGUAACUUAGGAAACUUGACCUAGAAGGUUCUUAUUUUUGGCUCAUAUAACCUUUCCAUAAACAUCAAAUACAAAUCUAUUUGAAGCUGAAUAAAGUCCUUUGCAAAUUUCUCUAAGUUCUUAAACUUGGGAGUAGGGCCUGAAAAAUGUAUGGCUAUCUCAAAAAUUCUGACAUGUGGGCAUAAUGAGCAGAGCUGAUAAGUGUGUACAAAAAUUGUAUACAUGAUUUGAAAUGAAAUUAGUUCAAAACCUAGAUACACUGUCCAUAUUCGGGGGUAAAAAUUGACAUGCUAAUGAGAUUUAACUAAUUUAACAUAGUGAGAACCUUAUUUAGCUCAAUUUGUUUAGAUCAUAAACAAGUUAGACAUUAAAUAAAUGUUUUGAUGUUGGCAUUCCAUGAAGCAAGCAUUUAGACAAAGUAAUUUAGUGGCUUUGUACUGAUUGCUAUAUUGCUGUGACUCAGGCAUAUCAAGAAAUUGAAUCCCCUUAGUACCUACGUACAUACCUUCAGCAUAUUUAAAAGAAGCCAUCAUGAGUUGCUUACCUUUUUGCUUCUUUACAAAAAUACCUCAUUGUUAUGGAGGUUAACUAAAAACGCUAUCAGAUAUGACUGCCGAUAAGAAAAAUAUUGAUAGACAAAGGCAAAGAAAAUUUAGAAAGAAAUAUUUCUAAAAUACUUGGAUAGAAUGUCCCCAACUUCAUCUGACCCUGUCAUAGAUUCCACUCACCAAGAGGCUUACCAAUUUCCUAAAGAAAAUUAGGAAAGAGGUAAAAUACAGAGUCACUGCUGUGAAUGGCUGCUAGGACAGCAUUACUGCUAUGGCAGAGAUCAUCGAUACUACUUAGAAAUGAAAGAGCCUACUUUUCACUUUAGAUGAUUUAUAUGCCAAAAAUAUUCUUGGCUAUAGGAAUGUGAUGUCAAGAAGCUGAUGACAGCAUUUGAAAAUGUGAAUUGAGGCUCAACAUGAUCUUUUAGCAGCCAGGUUGCUGGUUGGAAAAUUAACCAAUUUUCUUUCUUUUUUAAACACAUAUAAUGUCCUUAGUUAAAUAGCUAUAGGUUAC
rnacentral:lncRNA from 1 species